UAACAGUUGUUGGGGUCACACAUGGGCAGUGUGGCUCAGGUUCUGCUUAAGGCAUCUGGUUGGCUGUUUUGCUGGUCCUGAGGGUUAACCAUGAGGCGAGGUCUGAGUCCAAGGGUGCAGUAGGGAGACAGUCCGUCAAAGCUGAAGCUGGGUCCAAGGCAGGGAGCCGGGUGAGGUCAGGAGCUCCAACACAGAAGCAGGACAGGGUGCAGGCAGGAACAGGCUACCAACAAUGUUGCUCCCGCAACUUGGGACUGGGGCUGGCUGGCUUUUAUCUGCCCCGAGGCAUAGGGCGGCACUGGUCCACAGGUGACUCGCCUCCUCCUACGGGAACUUAGUUCCCUCUGCCUCUCUGCCCUGAGCCUCUGCAGCUCAGGAGAGGCUGGAGGGUUACCGGACCCAGAGGCAACCUCAGCUUCCUCUGCCGGGGCUGAGAGUGGAGCACCUGCAGGCAAUGGGUCCUCCAUCACCUCAGGAGCCAGAGCAGACUCACCUGAGGAUCCAGCACAGGUGAGGACCCUUCAGGCUCAGCUGGUUCUGGAGGCAGGGACUCCUGUGCAGGCUGGGAUUCUUCAGGUUCAUCCUCUGAGUCCGAAUCCCAGGCCAUCACAGCCGUUGUGAGGAGAGGCUGCUGGACUAGAAAGACCAUUGGCUUAAUCAAUCACACUCUUCUUAUGUUCUUGUGGAACCUCCAGGUUCAGAGGCAGUCUGUCUGGAUUCCUAGGUUCUUUGGGGCAUUUUGCCACUGUGAGAAGAGGAUGCUAGGCUCGAUCGGUCCCUUUUGGCCGGUUUCCGCUCCAGGGCUCUUUCGACGUUCCAGUCUUAUUUCAACUAAAUCUGUCCUCUCAUCCAGCCAGUUCCGCUUUGGGCUUUGUCGAGACCGGGGAAUCGCCCUUUUCAAAUCGAGACGCUUAGCUCUCCGUUCGUUUGACUUGAAAAGAGGAAGGAAAUUAAUUAUUUUGUUCUCUCAUUAUGCCGGAAUAAAAUCUUAUUUUAAACGGGAACAGAAUCGACUUCCUGGGACUGCUUUACAUCUGUGGAGGGAGGGAACCUGAUGACCUCCCUUCCUUUUGUUCACUUAAAAAAUAAUAAUAAAGCACGUAUAUUUAAUUUCUCCACUGCCAUGCUCUUUCUAGAAAUAUAGAAAAGGGGAAUUAAAGUAUUUGGAAAUCUCCCCUCUCCAUCUCUCCCUCUCUCUAUUCAUGUCAGUCCCUCAGCACCAAAUCCUUUCUAAUAGCGGACCUCCAAUGCCCAUCAUGCUUUCUGGAAAACGUAGAGCUUCUAAAUAUAAAACUUUAUCGGCGGAGAAAAUCCAUUCUUUUAUAACCCAGAGCAAAAUGCUAACUAAGGCCCUCUUCAACUUUCUUACUAGCAGCCAAGAGGGUUUGAGGCAUGCAUUAUCCUGGAGCCUUCUGAGACCAGAGCGUGUUCAACUGUCAAGGGCUGUGUAGGCCUGAGGCAUAAUGGUCCCUCCGUUUUCGUACGCCCCAUUCGGUGGCCACGAAUGAGGGGCACUGCUGACUGUUUUUCAGGAGGGCGGGUUGAUUUCUUUUGGGGUUGGUGGCGGUGGUAUUUCUACAAAAAGCUCAUUGCGCUCCCAGCCUGUGCAAAACCAUAGUUGAUAGCAGUGUAGCUUUGAUCCACAGGCACCAGGGAAUUAAAAAAUGGCGGCCAUCCACAAGACUUACCCACACUGGAGGAAUGGCAGAUGAAAUUGAUGGACUACAUGGAAUUGGCAGAAAUGACUGGCAGAAUCCGAGACCAGGGAGAAGAGUCGGUGGAAGAAGAUUGGAAGAAAUUUAAAGACUAUUUACAGAAAUAUUGCAAAAUUAAUGAAUGUUAGAAUGUUGGAUUGAAGUUAAGUGGUUUCUAGCUGUACUGGUAUAAAAGAAUAUGGAAAAAUUGGUUUUUAAUACGUAAAAAUUUAAUGUUAUAAUAUAUCAAGAUUAAAGAUCAGGAUUAAAAAGGAGGGAAAGGAAUUGCUGGACUAACAAAUUGAAUUGGAAUACAAAAGAGGGAGGUAUGAGGAGGUCCGGGAAACAAGUAAACGUAAGAGAAGUGAUGAAAAGAUGGAAAUGUUUUUAACUGUUUUUUCUUUUUUGUACUUUGUAUUUUUCUUUCUUUAUUGUUAUUUUUCUUAUUAAUGUAAUCUUUUUCUUUUGAAAUUUUAAUAAAUAUCAUUUAAAAAAAAUAAAAAAAUGGCAGCCAUCAGCAUAAGGAACUCAAAGCGUUGGUGUCUUCUUCUUCUUUGACGAUCACUCGUAGCCAAGUAAGAUGGUCUUCCAUGAACACAGUUUUAACAAUGCGUCUGUAAGUGACCAUGAAGGCCAAUUCUGGAUCCACGUGUCCUUCCACGGGUGGGGACAUAGGUCUCUGGGCGGGAGUUGAUCCCGGUGAGGGUUUGCCAAGCGUGCCUUCCUUUUAGCGUGUUUCUCCCUUGUGUCCUGAGUUCGAGUGUCUUCAAAGCCCACGACACCUUUGGUCAAGGCUGUUCUCCAACUGGAGUGCUCGCAGACCAGUGUUUCCCAGUUGCCAGUGUUUAUACUACAUUUUUUUUAGAUUUGCCAUGAGAGAGUCUUUGAACCUCUUUUGUUGACCACCAGCAUUACACUUUCCAUUUUAAAGUUUGGAGUAGAGUAGUUGCUUUGGAAGACGAUAAUCAGGCAUCUGAACCACAUGGCCAGUCCAACGAAGAUGAUGUUUCAGAAUCAUCACUUCAACAUUGGUGAUCAAUGAUUCUUGGUGGACGCUGGCACUAGUUCGCCUGUCUUCCCAAGUGAUGUGUAAAAAUUUUCAGAGACAAAGUUGAUGGAAUCUUUUGAGGAGUCAGAGGUGGUCACACAGCCCCUGACAUUACCCUAUCUAAAAAACCGAUAGUGAGUAAGCAAGAAAGCUUGCAUGUCAAAAUGCGCACUUGGUCUAGAAGCCAAGCCAUGUGAGGAGCGGUUGAAGGAGCUGGGUAUGUUUAGCCUGGAAAAGAGGAGACCGAGAGGAGAUAUGAGAGCCAUCUUCAAAUAUCUGAAGAGCUGUCACAUGGAAGAGGGAACAAGCUUGUUUGCUCCUGCUUCGGAGGGUAGGACUUGAACCCAUGGCUUCAAGCGGCAUGAAUGGAGAUUCCGACUCAACAUCAGGAAGAACUUUCUGACAGUAAGAGCAGCUUGACUGUGGAAUGGAAGGUGGUGGACUCUCCUUCCUUGGAGGUUUUCAAGCAGAGGUUGGGUGGCCAUCUGUCCCUUCCAACUCUAUAAUUCUAUGGUUCUGUGACUUGGGAGUGGUAGCUCAAAACAGCCAUGCCGGCUGGGGCUUGUCAGGAGUGCGUGCAGGAGCCAGGCCCUGGGACCAGUAGGACUUUGCAGGACUGGGGCCUUCCUAAGUUUGUUCUGAAGAGGCAAGGCGCAGCCACACAGGUGAGGUCGAUUGGUAACUCACAGCACCUGGUGGCAAGAGCCGGGAAGGGAUAUAAGGUCAGCAUUUCCCUCUGGCUCUUUGCCACAGCAACUUGUUUCCUGCCUUGCUGCGUUUGGCUUCUUGAUUCCUGAUUCUCGGACCUUGGCUCCUUGCUUUUCAACCCUCGGACCCUUGACUUCGUGACUCCUUGCUUCUCAACCCUCGGACCCUUGGCUUCGUGACUCCUUGCUUCUCGACCCUCGGACCCAUGACUUUGUGACUCCUUGCUUCUCGACCCUUGGACCCAUGACUUCGUGACUCCUUGCUUCUUGAUCCUCGGAUCCCUGACUUCGUAACUCCUUGCUUCUCGACCCUCAGACCCUUAACUUCGUGACUCCUUGCUUCUCAACCCUUGGACCCAUGACUUCGUGACUCCUUGCUUCUCAACCCUCGGACCCUUGGCUUCCUGACUCCUGGCUUCUGGACUCCUGUUCCUGCUCCCACCCCGCCAUCUUGCCCCCGGUCCCGACGUCCCCAGCCGGGACUUUGAUCGCCCGUGAACCGGACCAUGACAGGGCUUAUAGGGGAUGCAGUAUAAAGGCAAGACUGCCCUAAGGCUUUCCCGUGAGCAGAGCACCAUUGCUGUAACCACUACACCACGCUCCCUCUUCCCGCCACGGUCUCGCCUCCUGCCAGACUUUCCCUCUUUCGUUUCCCCCUAGAAGUGAGUUGUCUCGCCUGUGACUGAAACACACUUUGGAACUGUCAGCCGAGCCGGCAGAGAGCCCUCGUUAGCAUUUCGCUCCAGGUAAAAGAAUGGAUUUUCUCUGCUGAUAAAUUCAUAUAUUUAUAAGCUCUAUAUUUGCUGAAAACAUGAGAGAGUGAGUGGGGAGGAAGACUGGCUCUUGGAGAGCAGGAGGCAGAAUGGUGCUUUUUUAUUAUUUUAUUUUUCGUCUGGGAGAUUAAAGGUAGACUCUUGUCCCCCUGGCACCAGAGUAUUUAUGCUGGCUGAUGUCUCCUUCCCAGGAACGAGAACUCGGGGUCGCGGCGGAUAGUUUUAUCAAAAUGUCAGUUCAGUGUGCAUUGGCAGUUGGGGGGAAGAAGAGAGAGAGAGCGCAGAAUUCCAUGUUAGGGAUUAUUAGGGACCGGAGUGAAGAAACAACUCCAUACAAAUCUGACGUACGGACGUAUUUCGGAACGCCAUAGACGGCCUUGCACGUCCCAUCUCACAGAGGACCAGAAAGCGCUUCAGAGACAGUGGUCUAAACCACUGAGCCUCUUGCGCUUGCUGAUCAGAAGGUUGACGGUUCGAAUCCCCGCGACGGGCUGAGCUCCCGUUGCUCUGUCUCGGCUCCUGCCAACCUAGCAGUUCGAAAACACGAAGUGCAAGUAGAUAAAUAGUUACCACUCUGGCGGGAAGGUAGACAGCGUUUCCGUGUGCUCUGGUUUCCAUCCUGUUGUGCCAGAAGCGGUUUAGUCCUGCUGGCCACAUGACCCGGAAAGCUGUCUGCGGACAAACUCCGGCUCCCUCGGCCUGAAAGCGAGAUGAGUGCCGCAACCUCAUAGUUGCCUUUGACUGGAGUUAACCGUCUAGGAGGUCCUUUUACCAUAUCCAAUGUUAGCCAAACUGUGAGAGUAGAUCCGCUGAAAUUAACUGGCGUGGCUACUUUAGGCCCGUGAAUUCCAGUAGAAUUUUGUUGGGUUAUUCCUGCCUUGUAGGGGGGUUGGUCUAGGUGACCCAGUGGGUUUCCAACUCUAAUAUUUGAUUAUAAGUCUCAGGGAGCCCAAACUAUUGAUGCGAUGGUGGACCGCGUCGGCUUCUUGGAAAGGGAAAGGCGAAAGCGUUUGCGGCUUUUAAAAGCCAAAUAUAGAAUGAUAGAAUUGUAGAGUUGGGAGACACCAGGGUUCGAGUCCUCCCACUCAAGCAGGGCCAGAUUUAGGUCUGAUGAGGCCCUAAGCUACUGAAGGUAAUGGGGCCCUUUCUAUGUCCAGCUGUCCUUUGUCAACAACAAAUGGUCGCUGUUUUUUUGUGUUGAAUCUAUGCUAUAUGGUAAUUGAUGGACCUAAUAGGUAUCUAAAGCCAUUUGUACAUGUUGCCGUAUAACCAGUCCAUGCAGAAUGUAGGCACCCUAUAUAUAGAAAGGAGCAAAGCAGUGAUAUUUUAGGGAGCAGGCUAGCAGGCGGGGCCCAUGACUUACAUCACAGGAGCCUACGCAACACAAAACACUGUUGCUGGAUGUAGGUUUUAUUUUAUUUGUUUUUUAUAUUUUGGAAAUGUACAUCCAGUCCCCCCCUUAAUUUUUUUCAGCCCCCCAAGAGAGUGGGGCCCUGAGCUACAGCUUGUUCAGCUUAUACGUAAAUCCGGCGCUGCGUGACUCAACCAGAAGCUCGCUGGGUGAGUCACUACCUUUCAGCCUAGCCUACCUCUCAGGCUUGUUUGUAGGGUUUAAAUGGGCAGGAGGAAACCCACGUACCCCACCUUGAGCUCCUUGGAGAAAGGUAAAAAUAUGUAGGCGAUCAAUCAAUAUCUUCAAUUUUUGUUGCCUGCUAAGCCUCCCCAGAUGUUCAGAAAGCUGGUGCGAAUUUUAAUACGUUUUCCUUAUUUACUUUUUUUCAAAUCAUUGUUCAUUUUUCUUAUUGAUAAUUUUAUUGCUUUGCCUUUUUUUGGUAAACUGCUUUUUUGGGGGGGAGGGGAAUACAACCAGGCAGUGUGUAGAUUUUAUGAAAUCAACUAAUAAAUAAUAAGUUUUCCUUUCCGGGGCUUGUUUUUGCAGCCCUUGAAUUUAAAAUACAGGUGUGUGUGUAUGCAAAAUAGCAGCUGCGCUGGUUAAAAAAAGGGUGGGGUGGGGAGUAAGGUAAGCCUCCUAACCAGUGCUUUUUUUCUGGGGGUACGCAUACCCCUAAACAUUUUGCGAAUCUCUGUACUUUUGUCCAUUUACUGUCUUUAUUUUUCCCAAUUUGAACUACGAAGCAGUGAUUUUCUUGAGUCAAAAUGAGAGUACCCCUAAACAUUUUUUUGGGGCGGGAAGGGCCCUGAUCCUAACAUUUCCCCAACUCUCCCCGAAAUCCACCUCCCCUCUCUCUAUAUUUUGCUCGGAAAAGGGGAAAUGUCUGUAGCAACCGCAAGAGAGCAAAGUGAAAUUCUGGACGGUCAAAGGAGAAGGGAGACGGGGGCAUGCGGAUGAGAGAGGGGGGAAAUAUGUUAGGGAUCUAAAGGCUUGGAAUUAGAAGAAUUGGAGCGAAGGGGGGGGGAGUCAAAAGAGUGCAAAGGGUGGGGGGGUUAGAAGGGAAAGACAACAGAAGUGGGAGACCAUGGGGACUUCCAGAGAGGGUCUUAGAAAUUCAAAGCAGCCUCGCAUAGACUCAAAAGCUCUGUCAUUCAGAGCUCCAGGACAAGAGCUCACCGAGCCUGGAACCAGAACAAUGCCAAAUUGUUCCGGGAAGGUGGGAAAAUCCAGGGUCUCAACGCUCUCCGCUCAGACCAGCGGUUCCGCUAGUCAAACAAGCGUUCCACUUGAAUCGAUUCUGGACACCGCGUUAGCAUAAUCCGGCCCCCCUCCACCCACACCCGGCCCCCCGUCUCGCUAUGACAACUUGAAGGAGAAUUCGGGGAAGGCCGGUGAGUGACAGCCGACGCCGCGCUGACAAGGCGAGAAGAUUGGUGGGUGGAUUGGACGGUUGUGUGUUUUUUGGUAUUAAACCAGACUUCGUAUAAAUAAAAACGCAUCGUUUUGUCGC